UUUCCGUUGGUGAACCAGCGGAAGGAUCAUUACAGAGAUCAUGCCCUCUAAGGGUAGACCUCCCACCCUGUGUUAAUACUCUUGUUGCUUUGGCGGGCUGCGUGCCUCGCGCGCCCGGAUUGCGGUCCGGCCCGCCCGCCAGAGGACCCCUAAACUCUGAAUGUUAGUGUCGUCUGAGUACUAUUAAAUAGUUAAAACUUUCAACAACGGAUCUCUUGGUUCUGGCAUCGAUGAAGAACGCAGC
rnacentral:misc_RNA from 1 species